GACGAACGCUGGCGGCAUGCCUAAUACAUGCAAGUCGAACGAGCCGUUCGGGUCUUGUGGCCCACGGGUGCGUAACGGGUGGGAACCUGACCCUAGGUUAGGCAUCCCUCACCGAAAGGGGUGCUACUACCGGACAAGGUCUUCGGACGAAAGGUUUAUCGCCUUUGGAUGGGCACGCGUGGGAUUAGCUUGUUGGUAUGGUAAAAGCAUACCAAGGCGACGAUUCAUAGCUUGGCUGAGAGGAAGAGCAGCCACACUGAGAAUGAGAAACGGCCCAGACUCCUACGCGAGGGAGCAGUGGGGAAUAGAGGACAAUGGGGUGAAGCAUGAAGCAGCAAGGACGGGUGAGUGAUGAAGGCAUUGGAGUAGUAAAGCUCUUGUAACCGGGAGGAUAAUGACGGUACCUGGAGAAUAAGCUCCGGCUAACUCCGUG
rnacentral:rRNA from 1 species